AUGAAGGACUUUGUUGCUUGGAAUUUUAACAAAACCGGCAUAUUUACCGUCAGGUCCGCGUAUUACACUGAAUGGGAGUUCCAACAUGGGAGGAAACUGGCUAGGACGAGCCCUCCAAGCACCACCACAGUGAACCCUGUCUGGCAGCAGCUGUGGAAACUUCAAGUCCCGGCAAAGGUAAAGAUCCACUGUUGGAGGGUAUUGCAUGGGACCAUUCCAUGUAAUAGCAUUCUUGCUAAUCGACACAUACAGACUAGUAGUCUCUGCCGUGUUUGCAAAGUCCAUUGUGAGGAUAUCAAGCAUGCUACUUUCUCAUGUGUUCGAGUUUCAGAAGUCUGGGGCAGUUUGGGCGUGGGUGACGCCAUAUCUGCAGCCUGCGGACAUGAUAAUACAUGACCGGGUGCCUUGGAAACCAUACUGCGAGGUCAGAUUUCGGGACCUACUCACAUUUCGGGUGUGGGGUUUAAGGAACUUGUGGCGACGGCUUGCUGGAGAGCAGCAAAACCAGCAGCUAAGAUUCGAAGACACGGCUGGGAACGACCUGGAGAUGGAUUUGCAAAGCUGAAUGUCGAUGCGGCGUUCUCUGUUGAUGCGGGAAGUGGAGCGACAGGAGCUGUCAUCCGCGACGAUCAAGGCAGAUUCUUAUCGGCGAGUGCUUGUGCUAUCAGUUACGUAGCUGAUGCACCUACAGCCGAAGCUCGCUCUAUCCGGGACGGAUUGAUCCUAGCAAGCAACUCAGGAUGCAACAACAUCAUUGUUAAUUCAGACUACCUGGAAGUAAUUUAG
rnacentral:rRNA from 1 species